GUCGUCGGCCUGGUCCACCAGAGCCUCUUUGACGGUCUCGUAACCCGCCAGGACCACGGUGCGCUGCCAGCCCAGGUUUCCGACAAGAGGCAGUGCGAGCGGGCCCGGAGGAAGCCCACCCUUCCCGCCGCUCUUGUUUUUGUCGAGAAGUAACCAGAGCAGAGCCAGCAGGACCCCAAGCAGCAAGACGGUCAUGUGAGCCGCCCCUCUCUGAGACGUGUGCUGACGGCAGUGGGGUACCCUCGCUUGGCCGGGGCGAGCCGGGGUCCUUGUCGCUGCCGGAGUCGGGCAGUGGGUCCCUGUCGGUGAUACAGCGGGUGAUGCUGCGCUGCCUCUGCAGGAUGAGGGCGAAGCAACAGUCCCUGCGGCCCCCCGCUGGCAGCCUGGGCAGGUCCAGGAUCUCUCGGCCCUCCACGAUCAUCUCGCAAUGGCUCUGCAGGUCCACC